rnacentral:lncRNA from 1 species
GUCAGGCUCUACCCUUGGACAUGGUGGUGGACAGCUUAGUCCCAGCGCAGGAUUAUCUGGGAAAAGGCUGGAUGCUGGAACAAUGAUCUGGGUUUUGUUCUAAAAACAGAGAAUGCGUUAUUACUCACAGCCUUAUAAGCACAAGCAUCAGAGACUUGACAUUUUCUAAUAGUUCAUGUCAGGUUUUUUUGAAGACUUGCUUUCCACAUUCAGAUCCUCCUCACACCAAGAAUUGGGUUUAUCAUAGC